ACUCCACAAUAAUUAACCUUUUAGCCCUAAAUCAGCUGAAUUCUUGAAAUGAAAUAGUCAAGCUUCCAUUUUAUCCAUUUUCGAGAUAUCAAGAUGAAAAUGUUAGGUCAUCCUUCUAACAUUAUAGAGCCUGGUCAGGCGCGUGGACGUGCAGGAUGGUCUGGCUCUACUGGUGGCAGAAAGUUAUCUUUUUAAGUUCCAACACUUGUAUGGUUAAUUAUAUAACCAUUAGUCUGACUUUUAUCAGUGGAAAUAUUUUUUCUAAUAGGAAUUGCCUUUGUUAGGUUGAAUGCCAUACGCAUCACAUAUUUUCCAACAUGAUUCCUUAUUCGAAUGCCGUUAUGUUUAAGUUUAUCCUGACAAGAUAUUCAUAUAAAAUGUUUACAGUUUUUGGCUGACAAGAAAUAUUGGUUAGUUUAAGUUUAAAACUCGAUUAGUUCUCCUAGGUAAUUGUAUGUCAUCUUGAAAUACAUUUUCAUAGAGAUUCUAAACCAAAGCAAAAAGAAGCACUUGUUUGUAUUCAUCCAUGAUUCAGCGAAUGUUUUUUUGUUGUUUUUUUCAAACAGAUGAUUUACAUGAGUCUUGUAUUAUUGUGUUAUUGGUCAGGAUCUUUAAUCUUUUAAUUAAUAUUUGUCAAGCUCAACUAUUUUGUUGCUUGUUUUAAUGUCCUUUAUAAAGGAUAGUAUGCCUAUUAUUACGACUGACACGGUGCAAUAUCUAUAUUUCCUGUCUAUCAUUUGUUUCUGAUAAUAACUAAGUGUGGAGUAAAAUUUUGAAUUUCAUGAAACGAAUCAAAAAGUUUACUCAGCUUUUCUGAUUUUAUAUAACUGUUGGCGUAUAUUGUUGCAUGUAUUAUAUUAUCACUUGCGCUCAAUCAAGUCUAGCUAGCUAGAAGUAUAACAAAUAUGAGAAACAACCUAGUCAUAUUGAUAGAUUUUGUUUUUGGAAUCUCAUGUUUGAGACAGUAGAAGAAUAAAAACUAAUUUGCAA